rfam:Lobosporangium transversale strain NRRL 3116 BCR41scaffold_21, whole genome shotgun sequence.
GCCUCAAUGGCACAGUGGUUAGCGCACUUGUCUUGUAAACAAGAGGUCCCUGGUUCAAAUCCGGGUUGAGGCA